AUAUAGGAGUGUGAUACGUAUUUGCUUUUCUUGUUAUUUCUUGGGUGUUAAAGAUUUUAUUUGAAUUUCUUCUUCUUUCUUGGGGGUCAGGAUUUCAUUUGUAUUUCUUCUUUUCUUUGGUUCCAGAAACCAUAUUUCCAAUUGCUAUUCUUUCUUUGAGGGAAUCUUAAGAAUUGCUAAAGAUCAGAGCUAUGGUUAAUCCAGUUUUUCUUGUAGUCAGUCCUAUUGUUAGUCAGAUAGCUAAACUUGCUGCUACCUUGAUCAAAGACGAGUUUCUUUUGCAAUGGGGUCUCAAGAAUGAUAUGGAGAAGCUGUCGAGCAAUCUAACAGCUAUCCAUGCCACACUACAUGAUGCAGAGGAGAGGCAACUAGAGGAGAAGCAUUUAAGAGACUGGCUUGGAAAGCUUAAAGAUGCAGCUGAUGAUGCAGAGGACGUACUGAAUAUUUUCGCUACAGAAAUUUUUCUUUGGAAGAGAAAGCAUGAAGCACGCAGAAUUCCAACUCCUAUAAGUUCAAGUAAGAUUCUAAUUCAAUCGGAAACUGCACAUAAGAUUAAGGAAAUUUCUGCAAGAUUGGGGGUAAUUUCUGAAGAGAAACAAAAGUUCCAUCUCAACAGCAAUGUCAAUGGUGGAAUGUCAUCACAAUCCCAUGACCGUCCACCGACAGAUUUUUUUGUGGACACAAAGGAUGUUUUUGGUAGGGAGGAUGAUAAAGAAAAAAUAAUUGAUCUGUUGCGGUCAGAUAAUUCUGAUGAAGAAGGC
rnacentral:misc_RNA from 1 species